UUAGAGUUUGAUCCUGGCUCAGGACGAACGCUGGCGGCGUGCUUAACACAUGCAAGUCGAGCGGUAAGGCCUUUCGGGGUACACGAGCGGCGAACGGGUGAGUAACACGUGGGUGAUCUGCCCUGCACUUCGGGAUAAGCCUGGGAAACUGGGUCUAAUACCGGAUAUGACCUCCUAUCGCAUGGUGGGUGGUGGAAAGAUUUAUCGGUGCAGGAUGGGCCCGCGGCCUAUCAGCCUGUUGGUGGGGUAAUGGCCUACCAAGGCGACGACGGGUAGCCGACCUGAGAGGGUGACCGGCCACACUGGGACUGAGACACGGCCCAGACUCCUACGGGAGGCAGCAGUGGGGAAUAUUGCACAAUGGGCGAAAGCCUGAUGCAGCGACGCCGCGUGAGGGAUGACGGCCUUCGGGUUGUAAACCUCUUUCAGCAGGGACGAAGCGCAAGUGACGGUACCUGCAGAAGAAGCACCGGCUAACUACGUGCCAGCAGCCGCGGUAAUACGUAGGGUGCAAGCGUUGUCCGGAAUUACUGGGCGUAAAGAGUUCGUAGGCGGUUUGUCGCGUCGUUUGUGAAAACCAGCAGCUCAACUGCUGGCUUGCAGGCGAUACGGGCAGACUUGAGUACUGCAGGGGAGACUGGAAUUCCUGGUGUAGCGGUGAAAUGCGCAGAUAUCAGGAGGAACACCGGUGGCGAAGGCGGGUCUCUGGGCAGUAACUGACGCUGAGGAACGAAAGCGUGGGUAGCGAACAGGAUUAGAUACCCUGGUAGU
rnacentral:rRNA from 1 species